ACAGUGAAAUACACAAAAUCAGGUAUUCCACGAAUAUUUAAUAUUGAAACCACAGUAGCUGCCAGUAGGUUCUGAGUGUACUCUUGUAUUAGGAUGAUUUUCAUCCAUAGCUACCAGUAGAUGUCAGGAGCAAAAGUAAACUACAUUCAUUUCAUUUUAAUAGUAAAGGGCCUUCCUCCAUUAUCUUAAUAUCUUAAGAGUAUUAAUGAUGUUUUGACCAAAUUCAUUUAAUUAUUACCUGUUUGGAAUGUACUGGUAGAUUCAAAGAAUUUUCCUAAGAAAUGUUUUGUACCAAAGAAUUUCAAAAGUUAAUUUUGUACCAUCCAGUGAUUUUUAGCUAACCUGAACCGAAGGGCCUCUUGUUAAGUUUGCCAAGUGUGAUUCUUUAAGAUAUGCAGUAAGGUAUAAAAUCAAAAUAAGAAUAAUGUUAGGAAAUAUUUUGCACUCCUUCCAUGCUUACAAAAAUAUAUAAUUGAAGGGAACAAAAAGUUUUUUAAGGUUUUGGUUAGAGUUUCAAUUUUAUUUUUCUUAAGCUGCAUGCACUUUUACAGUGUACGUGCAGUGUCCACAUAGUGUAAUAAGUUGAUGGAAUUUAACAAAGAAAGCUCAAAAAGACAACACUUGUCAUUGAAAAGGAAUUAGAAAUCCAAAGAGAUAUCUGCUCAUAAUUAUUUGACUUGCCUCAUCAACAUCAAUUAGGGUUUUUUUCUCUCAAGACAACCUCUCAAGUCAACACUUUCCUUGGUCUUUUUAAAAUGAUAUUAUUCUUUUGUAGCUCUUUCGUUGUAAGAAAUGAAUCAAAAUAUGCAUAAAUAAAAAUGCUCUAUUAUACAACUUAUAAACAUUUUGUUCUAGUCUAAAUUGUUUUGUGUUUUGUAAGAUUUUAUUUGCAUAGGAUAUGAUUGCUUGCUAUUUUUGAACUCACACUGCAUUAAAGAAUAAAACAUGUUUUCAUUGGACAAGAUUUAGUAAUGGCCAUAGAAUUGCAUUGACAGAAUGUUGGUGGAUUUUGUUAGUGUUUUGUACACUUGUGAAUAUUAUAAGCAAAUGAUGGAAUUGUUAUGUAGAACAAUUUGUGUGCAAUAAACUGUUACAUUUUAUGCUAAAUAGUUGGUAGAAGUUGUCUACCUAAUAAAUGUGAAAUAUGGUGUC
rnacentral:sRNA from 1 species